CAGUUACAAUUGAAUUUUACAUAAACAAUGAAUUUUUUUAAUAUAAGUAUGCCCCAUGCAAUAUUUGGGAUAUACUUAUACUAAAAAUUAUUUAUGUAUCUAAAAUUCAAACUUAACUGG
rnacentral:miRNA from 1 species